rnacentral:lncRNA from 1 species
GCCCCAGCCCCGGGCCUAGGGAAAAAAAAGCGCGAAAUGAAGCCUCCGUUGUGCAAUGUGAAUAAAGAAAGGACUUUUCUUAAAAUGAGGAGGGAGCAGCAGUGACUAGGCCUUGUUAAAGUGUGUAGAAAACUAACCAGUCCUGCAGUUUUUCCAACCCCAGACCCUUUCUCAGUUCCAGAUUCGAAUGUCAGCUACCUCGUAGACAUCUGCUUCUUGGCCUAUUAAACCCUUCUUCAGACAACACAUGUUCCAUCGAAACCAACUGACUUCCUUAUUCCUCUCCAAUAUAAAAAGGAAGUGCAGAAUCCUGGCCUCUGGCCCCAGGGCAUCU